rnacentral:lncRNA from 1 species
ACCCGCACCCUAGGACCGUCGCGGCGGCCCGCCGGGAACGGGGCGGGGGUCGUGACAAAGCUUGGUAUCAGAGCAAAGGUUAAGAAAAGUCCUGUCAGAGCAAUAGAGUGAGUCAGGAUUAAGUAUAGGAUUAUACUAUGGAGCAUAGGAUUUUUCUGUAUGUUAUUUUAUGAGUCAUUUACAACUCAGUAAAAUAUAUCAUGACUCAGUGUGUAGCGACCGUCCUCUCUUUUUGACUUUUUUAG